GUGGAUGUAGCACUUACACUAAAAUCAGAAUGAUAUAGAGAAGAUUAGCAUGCCCGCUUCUCAAGGAUUUUUGAAGCUUUAUAAAUAGUA